UCAGUAUCUUUUCCUAAAAUCUCUCCCUCUCAAUCAGUGUGUAGGAAAAACCCCAUGCUGAACGUAUGACAUGUUCUUCCUCACUCCUUCAAAACUUCUUCUCCCCUCCCAUGGUAGUUUGAUCAUCCUCUAGAAAACUAACUUGCAGCAUUGGUCUCACUGUAGAUGAUCGAAAAGGCCGAUCUACAGAAUAAGACAGUUCUGCAUAUUGAUAGUAAAACAAGUACAAGUUGUUUCAUUUUGAUCUAUGGACAAUAUCAAGGAAUCAAUUAGAUCACUUGAUGACGACUGUCUGAUAUACAUUGCAAGAGAUGAUUUUCACUAUAAAGCCACCUGGUGAAGUUUAAAUCUGCAGAACUGUUCCUAGGCUCUGAUUUGGUUCCGCGACUCACUCAUCAAAUGACGAAUGCAGUUAGUUUCGACUAUUUUUCUUCUUAUACAAAUCUUAACAAACUUGUACCUACUCACUCAUCAAAUGAAGUGCAAGGAUCUGUACUUUUGUACUGAUACAUUCUGAUGUGAUCUCUGAGAAUGUUAAUGGAAAGCUGCUAUUCAUAACUUGUUCCUCA